rnacentral:lncRNA from 1 species
ACUUCACUCUGCACUCCGAGGCUCAGGGAGCAAGUGUUUGGAGUGGGGGGGAAAGUUGGCUUUUUUUCCCCCUCCUUGGUCUUUAGCGCCCUUUUCUCUCCCUCAGAAGAGAAGAGCGACAUAAACUAUUUUAGACGCAAUCAAGGAAGAAUCGCCCAUCAUGUGGAAUUGAGCGGCAGUUUUAAAUGUACUAAGAGAAGACUGGUCUCGAAAAAAAAAAAAAAAAACAUUUUUUUCCCCUUCUUUUUUUGGAGACGCCUAAAGGAGCCUGUUUGUGUGCUGUGUGGCCACGUUCUGCUGUGACUGGAUCUUGUCUUCUGCCUGGCUCCUCGAUUUCCGUCCGGCUGGAUUUGGGGACAACACUGCCUGGCGCAGACAGAUCAAAUGACACUUCAAAGAAGCAUAAAAUGAACAGACUAUUCAAACAAAGGGAGUUAAGUAGGCAUAUGGUUCCAGGCAUGGAGUCCCUCCUACUCUUUGGCCUUAAGUCCAAUUACACAGCUGUUAGCCAUUCCCAAGUCUAUUUCAAGAGAUAAAUAUUUGGAAUAAAUCUUCAUUAUGAAUUUGAGAAUUGUGUGGACAUACAUUCUUCAAGAGGAAGACAUCCUAAACAAAGAACAAUUUAAAGAUGGUGCUGGGGCAGAUGGAGUGAGAGUGACUUUCAAGCUCACUUAAAUAUGGGAGUUCUUAUAUGUCUGACAAACUCUUGAUGUCCUGAGUGCAAAAUAUCUAGGGGAACUUGCGGAGGGGGUGCUGCACUGCGAGGCGGAUGGGAAACUGACAGGCAAACUGUGCUGGGAACAACUCUCCUCAUCCCACUACCAUAGGCUCUGGCUUUUGGCAUCAGGAGUGCCAGCUGCAUCAGGAGAAGCCAAGCUUGUCAUACCAUCUUCACAUCAAAUCUUCAGGGCACAAGAGCCAGAGCAUAGUUAGAGCUUAAUGAAGAAACAAAUACAAAAGAGAAGAUUAGGCCUUGUUAACACUUGCAUUCACUUCCUUGUAUUGAAACUGCACUGGGAAGGGUGUCUUAUAGAGCCCAGUCUUCUCUUCAGCAGAGAAGUUACAUUAAGGAUGUACUUUUGUAUUGUAAAAGGGUAGGGCAGGGAGGGAAUCUUUCAGUACUCCUGUAACUAUCAGCUAGCAAAUUGUUUUGUCAAAAAUGCCAUAUGACACAGUGAUGUCCAUGACAACUGUCAAAAUUGGUAAAUAAUGCUUUUGAAAUUUUUAUAUUAAUAAUAUUGGCCUCACUGCCAUGUAAGGCAUGUAUAUGUGGUACCAGUACACUUCUUUGAAAGACUAGGUUGUGAAAUUCUGCCCAUUGUUGGGAGAUAGGAGCCUCCUCAAUGGCAAGGAGCAUUCAUGUUUUGUGGCACUACAUUAAUUUUCAAAUUAGUUGUAUUUGAGAAAAAAGGAAUCAUAUUUUUGAAGUUCUCUAUAAAGUAUCUGGAAAGUUUGACAGCAGAAUGCUACAGUUAUUUUUUUUUUUUAAUUGUUGUCAGCAGUCAGUCAACUACACAAAGGAGUACUGUGUACAGCUAGGAUGCAAAACCUGUUUUUGUUUAUGCUGUCUACCGCUAUACUGUCCUAAAGGGAACACUUAUACUUAAUGGAAUAAUCUGCUUUCUCCUCCACACUUCCACACUUGUGCACAGGGUCUUCUCAGAAAAGUCACAUCUCUGGUCCUUACACUGUAGACCAUGUUGAAGGGAGGCAGGUUAUUUGUGAAGGGAUCUGAGAGGGUGCACGUUGCUGUAUUAGAAGUGAAACACUUGAUUUUUACAAAGUCUUCUAAGUCUUAGACACAAGCGCAAUGAUAUAAGCUUGUAUGUAUGUCAACCUUUGCCUGAUCUGUAGAAAAAAGUAAAAAUAUGGAGAGCUAGGAAGUAUUUCAGGAAGUAAGUUCAUGGCUGUACUCCCCAUAGUCAUAUACAACUAUAGAUCAAAGCACAAUGCAAACUUACUGCUAAAUGAGUUUAUUUUAUAAGAAAAAUACUUAAAAUGCACUACAGAAAUAGCUGAAAGAAAAGUCAUUUCACAUCACCCUGUAUCAAUCCAAGUGAAUUCACACCUACUCUUACAUAGUGAUAGAAAGCAAAGGUGUGUAGUGUAGGUUUUACUUCAUAAAGAAAGCUCAGCCUUGUAUAUAGUUGGAUGUUACAGUUCAUAUGUAACUACCAAAUUAUGUCCCCACUUUUGAAGGCCAUUCCUUGAAUUUUCUCUUGUCUAGUAUAAAUGUGUUCUUUUUGUUUUUUUUUUUUUUACUUAUAUGACUAAAAGAAAAAACUAUUUCUGUAAGACAGAAAUGAUUUCUUCUGUUCUGUUUGUAUCUGAUGAUACCAUCAAACAAAUGCCGUGUAUCUAGACCUACUGCAAUUUUGCUGUUUGGGGUCAUUAUAUUUGCAUGAUGUGAUUUUGUCCAUGAUAUAUGUAUAUCAAAUACACAUAUUAUAGAUUUCAUAGUCCACAUACUCCUUGUACUCUAAUAUCAUGGAUGUCACCAGCCUAACAUGGCUGCUUCUUAAGACCUGGGGUCAUGUUGUAGGGAGAUGACCUCAUCAAAAACACUUCUCAGAGAAAAUUGUUACAAUGAAAUCAUUAUUCAAAUGAUGCUUGGUAUUUUUUUUUUUGCAUUAAUUCUCCCAUGUUUUCAGACCAAGGACCGCUGCAACCUGAAUAUUACUGCUUUUUACGUAUUAACUUUAUUAGUGAUCACCAUAGUAGUUUAUAAUUAAAUUUGUCAAGCAGAUACAUAUAGUGUCUCCAAAUAUAUUUGGUUAGUACUUUACUGUUAAUACAACUUUGUGACAACAAAUAAAUGAGACUUUUUUUCUGAA